CUAUGUCAGAGGGAGGGUCUGGGACUCAAGUGCUGCUGUUCAGAUUCUUUUGUCCCACGAGGGUGCUCCUGUGAUGUGGUACUCUCCUGUUUCCCCUAGGGAUGGGAAUUCCUGAGAGCUGAACUGCAGUGAUUAUUAUCUCUUUACAGGAUCUAUCCACCCAGUGUAACUACCGGGCUCUUGGCUUUUACUGGGGAGUGUCUUUAAAGAGUACUGUGAUGUGAUCCAUCUUCAGAUCUCUCAGCUGUGGACACUGGAACCUACUCUUGUGGAGGAAGCAGCAUGCAUUUGUAUGUGAGUGCCAGUGCGGGUCAUCACAGCUUGCAUCCAUUUCAAGUCUUCAUCUAACAUACAGAAGGUCUUCAGAUUGAGAGGAGCAGAACAUGAGGUACUGAACUCAAGAGGUCUCACGUGCACUUGGACCUGAUUUACAUGACAAGGUUCUGGCCUGAUUCAGUAACAUGAUACAAUCUUAUGUGGGGUAUUGGGAGGUUGAGUAUGUAUUUUUCAUGGGGAAGAAUGUAAAUAAUCCAUGGAAUAAAAAAUAUGACUUUUAAAAUGUGGCCUCAGAAUCCUUUGCACUCCUCUCAUUAAGAAGUAAGGUCUAUGAGUUUCCCUUUGAAUUUGAGUGGGCUUUUGACUUCUUCAUUCAAUACUGCAAGUUUCAAGUGAUGUUAUGUGACUUCUAAAUCUAGAUUAUAAAAGGUCUUGCAGAUUUUGCAUAAUUUUUUUAAAUUACACAAAAAUCAUUUUUGCAUAAUUCUCCUUCCUGGAGCUUUCAUUCUUGUACAUUCCCUCCCAGAAUCUAGCCACCAUGCUGCGAGAAUUCCAAGCCUCACAGAGAGGGCCCGUGUAGGUUCAAAGUACUAGAGUCCCAGUUGAGACUGUCCUUGAGCCACCACACCCCGAAAAGCAGACUGUGGGUAGAGUUAAUAUUGGAAAUGUUUUCUCCAGUCUUAGUUGUCCCAGCCCCCGGCUUCUAGAGGUAUCUCCAGCUGUUUAAGAGAUCUCAACUGAGGUAGCAGAUAUGGUAAAGUUCUAAAAUGCCACUCCUAUUCUGUACACCCUAAUUUCCAAAUUCACAUAAUUUGUAACCAUAAUAAAGCAAUUGCAAUCAUGUACUACUAAAAUAUAGGAUAUUUUAAACACAGCAACUUUAAAAGAAGUAUUGACAUAUUUUGCUACAUUGAAGUCAUGCUCUCUGUAGCCAAGAGACUCUCUUUUCACUUCUUUUUAAUUAAACUCAUACUUCCUCCAACUCAUACUUGUGAAAUAUCAUUAUUUAUGAGUAUUGAGCAAAACAUUAUUCAAAACUACAUAUACAGCAUUUAUUCCUUUAAAUGGUCCAUGUCUUUUUGAAAACCUUCUUAGCUAGACCUUCCCUGUUUUCUAGUUAAAUUCCUGCUAAUCUAACCUAAACUAUCAGCAACAUCUCAAGGAUAACUAUGGAGGAAAUGUUCCACCUCUUGAAAUAAACAAGGAUAAAAGAAAAUUCAUCUUUGGCAUUUUUAACUCACUGUAAAAUUAAGUAUAUGG
rnacentral:lncRNA from 1 species